ensembl:lncRNA
AAUUCUGUUGUUUUCUUUCAAAUUCCGGUGUUUUCAUUCAACUUCCAUUCUUGUCAUUCUAAUUCUGUUUUUUUCUUUCAAAUUCUGUUGUUUUCAUUCUAAUUCUGUUGUUUUCAUUCAAAUUAUGUUGUUUUCUUUCAACUUCCGGUGUUUUCAUUCAACUUCCAUUCUUGUCAUUCUAAUUCUGUUUUUUCAUUCAAAUUCUUUUGUUUUCAUUCUAAUUCUGUUCUUGUCAUUCUAAUUCUGUUGUUUUCAUUCAAAUUAUGUUGUUUUCAUUCUAAUUCUGUUGUUUUCAUUCAAAUUCUGUUGUUUUCAUUCUAAUUCUGUUGUUUUCAUUCAAAUUCCAUUCUUGUCAUUCUAAUUCUGUUGUUUUCGUUCAAAUUUUGUUGUUUUCAUUCUAAUUCUGUUGUUUUCAUUCAAAUUAUGUUGUUUUCUUUCAACUUCCGGUGUUUUCAUUCAAAUUCCGUUCUUGUCAUUCUAAUUCAUUUGUUUUCGUUCAAAUUAUGUUGUUUUCAUUCUAAUUCUGUUGUUUUCAUUCAAAUUAUGUUGUUUUCUUUCAACUUCCGGUGUUUUCAUUCAAAUUCCAUUCUUGUCAUUCUAAUUCUGUUUUUUCAUUCAAAUUCUUUUGUUUUCAUUCUAAUUCUGUUGUCUUCAUUCAAAUUAUGUUGUUUUCAUUCUAAUUCUGUUGUUUUCAUUCAAAUUAUGUUGUUUUCCUUCAAAUUUUGUUGUUUUCUUUCAACUUCCGGUGUUUUCAUUCAACUUCCAUUCUUGUCAUUCUAAUUCUGUUUUUUUCUUUCAAAUUCUGUUGUUUUCCUUCUAAUUCUGUUGUUUUCAUUCUAAUUCUGUUGUUUUCAUUCAAAUUCCUGUGUUUUCAUUCAAAUUCCGUUCUUGUCAUUCUAAUUCGUUUGGGUUUUUGUUCGAAAUCUGUUGUUUUCCUUAUAAUCCAGUACUUUUCAUUAAAAAAUUUUUGUUUUCAUUCAAAUUUUUUUGUUUUCAUACUAAUUCUAUUGUUUUCAUUGUAAUUCCGUUCUUGUCAUUCUAAUUUUGUUGUUUUCGUCCGAAAUCUGUUGUUUACCUUCUAAUCCUGUUGUUUUCAUUCAAAUUUUGUUGUUUUCAUUCAAAUUCCGUUCUUGUCAUUCGAAUGUUGAUGUUUUCAUUCUAAUUCAGUUGUUUUCAUUCAAAUUCC